rnacentral:rRNA from 1 species
UAACGCGUGAGUAACCUGCCUUUCANAGGGGGAGUAACGUUCUGAAAAGAACGCUAAUACCGCAUGAGACUACAGAGCUGCAUGGCUCAGUGGUCAAAGGAGCAAUCCGCUGAAAGAUGGACUCGCGUCCGAUUAGAUAGUAGGCGGGGUAACGGCCCACCUAGUCGACGAUCGGUAGCCGGACUGAGAGGUUGAACGGCCACAUUGGGACUGAGACACGGCCCAGACUCCUACGGGAGGCAGCAUG